UACAGAGGGUGCGAGCGUUAAUCGGAAUUACUGGGCGUAAAGCGUGCGUAGACGGUUAUUUAAGUCGGAUGUGAAAGCCCCGGGCUCAACCUGGGAAUUGCAUUCGAGACUGAAUAGCUAGGGUGCGGUAGAGGGAAGCGGAAUUUCCGGUGUAGCGGUGAAAUGCGUAGAUAUCAGGAGGAACACCGGUGGUGUAGACGGCUUUCUGGACCGUAACUGACGCUGAGACACGAAAGCGUGGGGUAGCAAACAGG
rnacentral:rRNA from 1 species